CGGGGACUUGAUUACACUAAUUAACCAAUUAGUGCCCUUUCGGUACCUAAUCUUAUUCAUUUUAACAAAAUGAUUUUUGGCAUGCAGUUUGAAUUGAUUUUAUACCUAUCCACUAACAUGCGAGGUGAUCAUGCAGGUGCGCAAUCAUUAAAGUAAUAAUCAUAGCUAACAAGGUCCUAAUUGCAGCAAAAAUAAACACGUGCAACUAAACAUAAUUAGAUAUGCAAAUUAAACAUGCUAUAUAAUUAAUAAACGAGCAAAUAAAUGCCUAAUUACACUAAAAAUGCAAUACAUAACAAUUUUCUAACCAAAUCCUACCAUUUUUAAAUUUUCGAAAUUUU
rnacentral:lncRNA from 1 species